UUAUAUGUUUGUUUAUUUAAUUCUUCUUUCAGUUUACAAAUUAAAUUAAAUUAAAAUUAAAUACUUAUGUAUUUAUAAUAUAAAUCAACAUUGUUUUACUUUGAUAAUAUGUAUGUUGUAGCAACUUCAUUUAUAAGAGUAAUAGCUACAAAUUGAAAUAUGUUAUAAUUGUAUAUUGUGGAUACAGAUGUUAUAAUGAAUUUCUCAAUCUAAAAAAAUAUAAGUGAAACUAGUUUACUUGGAACAUACAAUAUUAUGCUGUAUUGAUCAAUAUCAACAUUUUACGUUAUUAGUUGACACUUGAGGUAAUUUAUUUUUUUAUUGUCUUGAAAAGUUAUAAUUGUAUUUAGAAAUAAGCUGUAUAAACCAAUUUGCACUUUGAAUGUAAUAAUUAGUAAAUGUACUCUUUAAACUUAAUGUCAGAAGUGUCACUAAGUACAUACUCUUGUAAUUUUUUAAUUGUACUCGUUUAAAGUAUUUUGUACUAUGGUUGUAAUGAAACCUUAAUUAAUUGAUAAAUUUUUCAUAAGUUAAGGUUUUAUUACAUUCAUUUUAUUUUAGUUAUCUAAGUUAAUUCAUUACUCAUUGUACUAACAACCAAACUGUUUUACUUGUAUUUUAAAUUUUAUUUUACUAGUUAGUUUACAUUUUCAUCUUAUGUAACUUGUUUUACCUUUAUAUUGUGAGUGAAUUAUGUAAAUUAGAAUAGAAAAUAGUAAAUUAUGUAAAUUAGAAUAAAAUUCAAUUUAUUUAAAGUUUAUUAUGAAAAUGUAUCACAUAAAACUGAGUCAAGAUAAAAUUAUACAAAGACACCUUAUGACAUUGUACUAAGAAAUGUCAGUUGAGUGUUUCCGAGUUGAAAAGUGUAAUUUGAAGAUUAUCAAGGUAAAUAACUCACUAUAAAAUAUUUUAGUUGCUGCCAAUUAAGUACUGUAUUGUAUGCUUAACUUGAGUGAAUGCCCUGCUAUGUAAUAUACAUUUAAGUGCAACAUUUACACACUACAUAGAACAAAGAUAUUGUUAAAAAACAAUAAACUUGUAGAAAUUUAAAAAAAAAAAAGAAAAAAAAAUACUAAAGAAACCAGAAAUACAGGACAGAAAAAUUAAAAAAGAAUAAAACUAAAAAAAGACUACAAAAUGGUCCUAAUAAUUUAAUCUGCACAAGAACAUAAACACUAUACAAAAAGACUGCUGAAAAUUAUUCUACUAAAAUGUGUUCUUUUGAUAAAGAAAAGACAUAACAGCAAAGUAAGGCAGGCCAAUAAAGUCCAAAGACUAUAACACAUAUUUAUAAGCACUGUUAUAUACAAAUAAACUAUACAAAAUCAUGUAUUACAAUUCAAGGAGGCAAUUAAACAAGAAUAAUAAAUAUAAAUUAAAGUAAUCAAGGGCCAAUGUAAACAUCAAAAUAAAAUUUAACACAAUGAAGAAAUAGUUUAACUAGAAAGUCAAUGAAGGAUUUGGUGUAUAAAGUAUUGAACACCGGAUGUUGAGUAUCAAUAUGCUCCUAGGCAAAUUGACUAUUGGAACUUUUUUUCACCAGAUUUGAGUAUGACACGCCAGCCACUCCUUCAAACACCCCUACAGAUCCAAGCCACACAUUUGGUGUCAACACGCCGGCCCCUCCUACAAACACCCCCCCAUGGCGACGCCGCACGCUCCGAUCGGCUGCCUGACAAAGGCGCAGGUCGAUUGGGAAUCCUCAAGAAUGUGUUUUACAGCGGGUGCAAGGUCACAGAA